rnacentral:tRNA from 1 species
ACCUUUCUAAUACAAGAAAGUAUACUUGACUUCCAAUCAAGAAAUUUGUGAAAACAAGAUAGGUA